rnacentral:rRNA from 1 species
CUACGGGACGCUCCAGUGGGGAAUAUUGGGCAAUGGGCGCAAGCCUGACCCAGCAACGCCGCGUGAGGGAAGAAGGUUUUCGGAUUGUAAACCUCUGUCCUUGGGGACGAAGAAGUGACGGUACCCAAGGAGGAAGCUCCGGCUAACUACGUGCCAGCAGCCGCGGUAAUACGUAGGGAGCAAGCGUUGUCCGGAAUUACUGGGCGUAAAGGGUGCGUAGGCGGCAUAUUAAGUCAGGUGUGAAAUACUCGGGCUCAACCCGGGGGCUGCAUUUGAAACUGAUAUGCUUGAGUGUGAGAGAGGAAAGUGGAAUUCCUAGUGUAGCGGUGGAAUGCGUAGAUAUUAGGAGGAACACCAGUGGCGAAGGCGACUUUCUGGCUCAUAACUGACGCUGAGGCACGAAAGCGUGGGGAGCAAACAGGAUUAGAUACCCGCGUAGUC